CAGCCGCCACGGGAAUACGAAGGGGGCUAGCGUUGUUCGGAUUUACUUGGCGUAAAGGGCGCGUAGGCGGACUGAUAAGUCAGGGGUGAAAUCCCAAGGCUCAACCUUGGAACUGCCUUUGAUACUGUUUGUCUUGAGUUCGAGAGAGGUAAGUGGAACUGCGAGUGUAGAGGUGAAAUUCGUAGAUAUUCGCAAGAACACCAGUGGCGAAGGCGGCUUACUGGCUCGAAACUGACGCUGAGGCGCGAAAGCGUGGGGAGCAAACAGGAUUAGAUACCCCUGUAGUCCCUGUCUCUUAUAC
rnacentral:rRNA from 1 species